rnacentral:lncRNA from 1 species
CUUAAAGGUAUUACUUUAAUGAGCUUCGAGUUUGAUCUAAUCAAAUCCAGUUCUGUAGGUUUACUAGAUUAUGUCGGUUCAUUUUCUACCAGUCAAACUUCCAAGAUCAACUUGAUGGGCAUCAAUUUUUUCUCUAAAGAACUUCUUUCCAAAAGGAAUGCCCUACUGCUGAUGAGCGUCUUAUGUUCUUUAGCAUGAUAGAAUU